AUAGCAUUGUGAAAAGUUUUGUUCAUGGCUGCUUGGAUGUUUGGCUGGCUAGUGGCACGAUUUAUAUUGAAGACGAUUGGCAGUACAGAUGUCAUGUAGACAUUCGCAUUAACAUCAUAAAUGCGCUCACCCAUAACAAGAAAAAAAUACAGGUAUCCAUUGGAGCACCAAUUAAAUUCGAAAAAUUGUCCAUUUGCAUUGCACCAUUCAUAUUAUUUCACACCAAUAUCAC